rnacentral:rRNA from 1 species
UACGUAGGUGGCAAGCGUUGUCCGGAUUUACUGGGUGUAAAGGGAGCGUAGACGGUUAUGCAAGUCAGAAGUGAAAGCCCAAAGCUCAACUUCGGGACUGCUUUUGAAACUGUGUAACUAGAGUGCAGGAGGGGUAAGCGGAAUUCCUAGUGUAGCGGUGAAAUGCGUAGAUAUUAGGAGGAACACCGGCGGCGAAGGCGGCUUACUGGACUGUAACUGACGUUGAGGCUCGAAAGCGUGGGGAGCAAACAGG